rnacentral:rRNA from 1 species
CCUACGGGUGGCAGCAGUGAGGAAUAUUGGUCAAUGGGCGCGAGCCUGAACCAGCCAAGUAGCGUGAAGGAUGAAUGCCCUACGGGUUGUAAACUUCUUUUAUAAGGGAAUAAAGUGAGGCACGUGUGCCUUUUUGUAUGUACUUUAUGAAUAAGGAUCGGCUAACUCCGUGCCAGCAGCCGCGGUAAUACGGAGGAUGCGAGCGUUAUCCGGAUUUAUUGGGUUUAAAGGGAGCGUAGAUGGGUUGUUAAGUCAGUUGUGAAAGUUUGCGGCUCAACCGUAAAAUUGCAGUUGAUACUGGUAGUCUUGAGUACAGUUGAGGUAGGCGGAAUGCGUGGUGUAGCGGUGAAAUGCUUAGAUAUCACGCAGAACUCCGGUUGCGAAGGCAGCUUACUAAACUGCCACUGACAUUGAUGCUCGAAAGUGUGGGUAUCAAACAGGAUUAGAUACCCCGGUAGUC